GACGAACGCUGGCGGCGCGCUUAACACAUGCAAGUCGAGCGAGAACCAGACCUUCGGGUCUGGGGACAGCGGCGAACGGGUGAGUAACACGUGGGUAAUCAACCCUCGGUACUGGGAUAGCCCGGGGAAACCCGGAUUAAUACCGGAUGGCCCUUCGGAUCUUCGGUUCUGAAGGAAAAGGUAGCUUCGGCCUCCGACCGAGGACGAGCCCGCGGCGGAUUAGCUUGUUGGUGGGGUAACGGCCUACCAAGGCGACGAUCCGUAGCUGGUCUGAGAGGACGAUGAGCCACACUGGGACUGAGACACGGCCCAGACUCCUACGGGAGGCAGCAGUGGGGAAUCUUGCGCUAAUGCGGGAAACCGUGACGCAGCGACGCCGCGUGGGGGAAGAAGGCCUUCGGGUUGUAAACCUCUUUCAGGAGGGACGAAGCUACUCGGGUUAAUAGCCCAGAGGGUGACGGUACCUCCAGAAGAAGCCCCGGCUAACUACGUGCCAGCAGCCGCUGUAACAC
rnacentral:rRNA from 1 species